rnacentral:lncRNA from 10 species
AAAAUAUAACCAAACAGCUUGGCUAGAAUUUAUGUAAUUUGUAUUAUUUAUAUUAAUAAAUGGGUAUAAAUACUUGACCUAAAAACUCAAGGGGCAGAACAUGGAUUUUUAUAUGACCAUGAUUUUUGACCAAGAGCUUUAUAUAUUCAGAACAUAUUGUCAGAAAUAUUCUAUUUUCUCAGUUAUUUUAGCUUUAUCUUAAAGACUUUACUAAACUGGCAGAAUUCAUGGGUAGUUACAGCUUUCCAGUCAUGCUAAGGUUUUAAGAGAUGGUUAUAACCCAGAAAGUAAACAUCUGUUGGGUUAAAAAUUAAAGUAUUUCUUUCAUUAAUUUAUCCAAGACUUUUUAAAUGCGAUUCUCAGCGUGGCUUAUCAUGAUCCCUAUAUUAAAGAUAGUCCAAUAUCUAUGAAGUUAAACUACAUACUCCAAGGCCAAUCAAAGCACUUCUAAUUUACUAUUCUUUAUGGGGAUUCUCUGUUUAACUUGGGAAUGUUAUUUUAAAAAGUGUGCGAGUACAGCUGCAUACAUACAUAGAUACUUUCAAUCACUGAUAUGCAUGCAUGUAAAUGAAUCAUGGUGAAACAAUCAUUUCAAAAGAUAACGAAAGCUUGCCUUAAAGUCUUUUCUUCCACAUUCCCAUGGCCUACUAAAAAUUCUAUCUUAUUGACCAUGUUGUAUUGUCAAUGCUUUCUUGCCCAACCAGAGUAUGAGCUUUAUAUGGGCAGAGACUAUAUAUUUUUUCUCAGUGAUAUCAGUGCAUAACACAGUUCUGGCACUUACUGAUUACUUAUUGAAUAAAUAAUUGAAUGGUGUAAAGUAAAAUAUCAAAUUACAUAAUAGCAUCAUAGGUUAUAAUUCACGUUCGUAUCCAUGAGUGGAUCUGAUUUUUUCCUGCAUAUUCUUGAAUGCUUGAAAAUGCAUCUUUGGUUCAUCCAGGCACAAAUUUUAUAGAAGAGAGUUCUAUUUAAUCAUGUAUAGAUGAAAUAGAAUUAUUACUCAAAAGCAACAGGAGCCACCUAUAGUGCCCAUGACAGAAGCUGAAAGGAGUUGACUUUCCUUGAAUUCUAAGCAAUUGUUGCAUGCUGGUCCCUGGACAAUAAUAUAAAGCUGGUAAAGUUUGUAUUUGAGAUGACCUUCAACCUCCAUUUUUUGAACUUGUUUGACCUUUUGCCUCUUUUCCCAGGCAUCCAAAGCCUCUGGGAUGUGUUCUGACUGUAAAAACUCUGAUGUUGUGAAAAAAGCUUACGCUUUGCCUCCACUCAAACCAGAUGGUGUUUCGCUCUUAUUGCCCAGGCUGGAGUGCAAUGACGUGAUCUUGACUCACCACAGCCUCUGCAUCCAGGAUUCAAGCUAUUCCCCUGCCUCAGCCUCCCAAAAUGCUGGGAUUAUAGGCGUGAGCCACCACGCCUGGCCAGCAUUCCCAAUUUUUAAAAAUGAAUGAUUGGCACAAAUCUUAGAAAGCCAUUUUCUGUAGAUUUGAAAGCAAUGCUAUUUACAUUGUUACUACUUUCUUGUUAAAUCUUGCAUGUCUGCAGUAUGUGUUGUAAUAGAAACCUAAGAUUAUGAUCUGCUGUAUUCAUAUUUGAAGAAGAAAAUUUCAGACUGUAUAAUCAACUAGUUGAUGAUUCAUAUUUGCUUGUACAAAGUUAAAAGUGUAACUUGCCAGAAAAGAAGGAAGCCUGAAAAGUAUUCUAAAUACAUUAAUAAGAAGGGUUCUACAUGAAUUAAUUUUUGUUUUGCCAUCUACAGAGUUCCUGCCACAUUCUAGGCACUUCAUAUUUGCUGCAACAUUUAUUCAGACAUUGACAGAACAAGAGAAACGAAGUUAAAUUUUAAGUACCAUGGAUUGAAAUUAAAUUUAGGGAAGAUAUUUUAUAGUAUGAAUUGUUCAUCUGUAUUUAACAAGGUAUUCAUUUAUUUUGGGCGAUUUAAGGAAGGUCCUUUCUGGAAACAGGAUUACAAACAUAUGGACCUAUUUAGUCAAUUUCAACCUUGUGAUUUUGAAUCUGACAGGUUCUCAGCUGCUUUUAUUAAAUAACGGAUUUUCUUAAUAAUUACUGUACUCAAACUUAGCAAAAAGCUCUAUUUAUAGCCCAGUUUUUUAGUCACACACUAUUGUGUCUUGUCAAAUUGAAACCAUAUACUACAUUCUUUACUUAUUAAGAUGGUCUUUCUUUGUAAUAAUUUUGGAGUAAAUAGUUUACUUAUCUAAACCUCUGAUUUCUGAUUUAACAGAUUUUUGAAGCAUUUAUUUUCCUUACCAUACAUAAAAAUUGUCAGUUGAGGACAAGGAAGGAUUAACCUGGACUACGGUGAAUAAUUGUUCAGGUUGCUUACUGUGUAACUCCAGAGGAGCAUUCACAUGGUACAAUUUGCAGAUUUAAGUAUUUAUUACAACCAUUUUCUGGCAGAUAACAGUGGAACACCCUGUUCUGUUAAAAUUAGUUUAUUAUGACAAAUUGCCUACAGAUGGACAUAAACUGUCUUGAGGAAGGGCACCUGCUUUGGACUGAAUCGUGUCCCCCCAAAAUCAAAUGUUGAAGCCUAAUCUCUAAUAUGAUGGUAUUUGGAGAUGGGGCCUUUGGGAGAUAACUAGGUUUAGAUGAGGUCAAGAGUGUGGGGCCUUCCUGAUUAGUACCCUGAAAAGAGAAAACACCAGAGAGCUUGCCCUCUCUCCCUCUUACCCCACAGGCACACAAAGAGGUCAUGUGAGUACACAGUGAGAUAACAACCACCUAUGAGAAAACAGAAGAGGCUUCAGAGUGAAAUCUACUUUGCUGGUACUGUAAUCUUGGACAUUAUUCUCUAGAACUGUGAGAUAAUAAAUUUAUCUUAUUUAAGCCACCCAGUCUAUGGUAUUUUGUUAUGGCACCCUGAACUAAGACAAAUUUUGGUACCAAGAAAUGGGGGUGCUACUGUAACUAAUACCUAAACAUGGGGAAAUGACUUUGGAAUUGGAUAGUGAGUAGAGGCUCAAGAAUUUUCAGGUGCAUCCUAAACAUAUGAACAAACAGUAAAGGUGAUUCUGGUGAGACCUCAGAUGGAAUUGAGGAAUAUGUUAUUGGAAACUGGAAGGACGGUGAUCCUUGUUACAAAGUGGCAAAAAACUUAGGUGAACUGUAUUCUAGUGUUUUGAGGAAGGUAGAACUUGUGAGUGAUGAAAUUAAAUAUUUGACAUUUCUAAGCAAUAUGAUGAAGGAGCAGCUGGUUUCCUCCUGACCAUUUCUGCUGAAAUGAAAAAAAAAAAGAUAAGUUGAAGAAGAAAUUGUUCAGCAAAAAGGAACCAGAACUUGAAGAUUUGGGAAAUUCUCAGCUUAUCCACAUUAUUAAAAAAUGACAAAAACUUGCUCUGAAAAUAACACUAGGAGUGUGACUGGACAACCAUUUGAUAAGAGUUUAUGAGAUUAUGUGAGCAGAAAUUCUGCCAGUUUGAACUGAAGGGGAUGAAGAUGGGACAAAAAGAAUGAAGGCUUCGAGACUUCUUGGGUUAGACAUGAUGGGCUGAUUUGCUUAUUUGGCUGUGAACCUGCACUAUUUUUCAAGGAGAGGAAAAAAUGGCCCCAAAGGCAAUUCAGAGAUAGCCAGAGCCACAGCCUCAGUUUCAACAGGCUGGACAGUCUCCACUCAGCUCUUUGGAGGCAGAACCACUCAGAGGACUCAAGCCUGUCAGAGCUAGGGGGUGGGGCUGGCAAUCCCACAGGGUGGAAAGGAUGGGGCUAUCCUGCAAAUCCAUGUGGGUGAUGUCUUGGGUGGAAUGCUCUGGACUGAACUGUCCUCCCAUCCCCUGCUCAGAUUCUGUGUUGAAGCCCUUACCUCCAGUGUUACGGUAUUUGGAGAUGGGGUCUUUGUAAGAUAAUUGGGUUUAGAUGAGAUCAUGAGAGUGAGGCCCUCAGGAUUAGUGCCCUUAUAAGAAACCUCGGAAAGCUUGCGAGUUCUCUCUCUCUCUCUUUCUUUUUCUUUCUCUCUCUCUCUCCCCGUGUGUGUGUGUGUGUGUGUGUGUGCGCGCGCACACGCGCGCGUCAUGUGGAAACACAGCACAAAGGCAGCCUCUGCAAGCCAGGAAGAGGGCUCACGAGAACCCAAUCAAGCUGGCACCCCAAUCUCAAACUUCCACCCUCCGAAACUGUGAGAAAAUAAAUUUCUGUUGUUUAUGCUACCUAGUCUACAGUAUUUUGUGCUGAGCUGACUAAUACAGUUCCUUUCCAGAUUGUACAAAAAUGCCACAUGAAUCAGAGCUCACCAGCUCUAGUAGGUAUGAUUGUUCAGUGUUCAGCAUAUAGGAAACACUGGGGAAAUGCUCAUAUGUUCAAUGAAGAAAAUAUGCGUAACAAGUGAUUUAACAAUAAUGUGAUAAUUCAUUGGAUUACUCUAAGAAAUAUGAGUUUUUUUACGGCAAACUCUCCACAACACACUUGAUAAUAGAUUGAGAGGAAAUGGCUGUGUAAAUAAUUAAGCUGAGAAAAUAAGUUACAUUUGCUCUCACAGAUCAGUGGUCAAAGAGAGACAAAAUGCUGAGGGUGGGGUGGGGUGGACAGGACAUUGAGGAUCAAAAGCACUUGGGAUCAGCUUCAAACUGAAGGUAAUAACUGGAGUCUUAGACACGGGUUUUUCCAGGAAAACAAAAUGAGAGAAGUCAGAUCAAGCAGAGGAAGUUGUAUGAACAAUCACUAAACUUCCUGACUUAUUCUCCAAGUUUCUUAUUCCUAAACUACAAAUAUCUUGAUUGCAUUCUGAGAACAUGCUGUGCCUCCCUCUGUCUUAGCAGUCACUACUUUAUAUUAAAAUAUAUUUUGAUGCUUUCCUUUCCCAUAGAUUCUCCAAGUCAUAAACAAUACCCCCAGCACCUAGCACAGAGCCUGGUACCAUGUUGUUUGUCAAAUUAGACUGAGCUCUGAUAUUGCCUUUUUCACCAGGUGGUCCAUACUCUCUUCUACUUUCCUUUAAUACACUGGCGUAUGUUUUGUAAGCCCUCGCCACAUUGUAUUCAAUUGUUUGUUAAUGUGUUUGUCUUCCUAAUUAGACUGUGAAAUUCUUGAAGGCAGAGAUUAGGUCCUGUUCAUCUUUGCAUGAUCAGUGUCUUGCCUAGCAUAUAGUAGGGUUCCCUUGGGGUUCCUUUUUUUAUGAAAUGAACUAACAUUCAGUAUUUCAAAAUUACUGGAAUUUAGUGUGCUUUAGGUAACGGUGAGCAGAAGGAAGAUGGAUAAGAUAUAAGGCUGGGAAAAUAUGGGGAAAAUCCAUGUCUGAGGUUAAUUGAUUAAAAAGGAGGAGCCUUGAGUGACUUCUGUGCUUGGUGUGAUGGUGAUAUUCACCAAGGUAAGUUAUACUAGAAUAAUAAGUUAGGGAGAUAAUAGUGAGUUGAGACAUUUAUGAAAUAUGCAGGUGUCUAGUAGAGUUGGAUAAAUAGGCCUGGAGCUUGAGAAAUUCAGAACAAAGAUAGUGAUUUGGACAUCAUGAGAGGCAGUAUACAGUAAUAAUAAUAAUAAAUAGACUGGACGUGGUGGCUCACGCCUGUAAUCCCAGCACUUUGAGAGGCCGAGGCAGGUGGAUUGCCUGAGCUCAGGAGUUCAAGACAAGCCUGGGAAACAUUGCAAAACCCAUUCUCUACGAAAAAUACAAAAAAUUAGCCAGGCAUGGUGGCAUGCGCCUGUGGUCCCAGCUACUUGGGAGGCUGAAGUGGGAGAAUCGCUUGAGCCUGGGAGGUUGAGGCUGCAGUGAGCUCACAUCAUGCCACUGCACUCCAGCCUGGGUGACAGAGGGAGAUCCUAUCUCAAAAAAACAAAACAAAACAAAAUAAUAAUAAUAAUAAUAACUAUUAAAGCACUUUCUAAGUGCUGGGUACUAAUUGCUCAGCACAUGCUAGUACCCUUAAUACUCACAUAAACAAACUUUUGGAGAUGUGCAUAAUUAUCCCCAUUUUACAAACUAGAAACCAAGCCACAGACCUCCUAGUUUACCUUAGGUCGUGCAGAUCUCAAACCAAGCAGGAUUCCCACCCAGUGACUCUGCUUCUAAAAUUCGUACUCAGUAUACACCAGUAUAGGGACUGGGACUGUCAGUCUUUCCUUUGCUUUGUGACUUGAUUAUAUUACCCACCACUUCUGUGCCUCAGUUUCCUCAUUUGCAAACUGAGGGAAAUAAUACUAUCUAUCUCAAUACAGUGCUUGGUACAUGUUAGCACUCAAUCAACCUUAAAUUAUUAUUUCCAUUAGCCUAUUUAUGAAUGUUGAAAUCAUGGAGGAAAAGGAGAUUGGGUGAAUGUGGGGAAUAAGAAAACCAGAGGGUCCUUGAUCCUUUAAGCAGUGGUUGUCUAGAAGGAAAUCUAGUUUGGAGGCUGUGUGAUCAUCCCAAGGGGAAAAGUGAGGCUUCCAGACCUGGGGCCUGGGCAGAAUCUGGGAUGCCUGGUCCAGUGCAGAGGGCUGAGUAUCAGUCAUCCACAGCAAGCACUGCGGUGCUAGAAUGAAAAACUGAGAAGAAAUAUGCCAAAUCAAAAGCCUAGUCAGCCAUCCAAGUGUAAGGUCCAUCUAAAGGAACUGAGCAAAGAAAUAUGAAAAAAAAUCAGCUUAGACAGUAUGAGACAAAGCUUGAAGUUUCUUAAGCAGGUGGUAGGGACUUCAUAGGAUGCCAUGAAACUGAGAGUUGUCCAGAAGACAGCUCUUAAAGACAGUGGUCUUGCACAAGCUGAGUUUGAAGAAUAAUCAAAGUGGUAGGAGGGAAUAAGGAUGAGGCAGGAUCUUAAAAACCCAGGGAGGAAAAAAAUGUGAAGGAUGUGGGGAGAUGGGAGAUUUGGUAAGAUUCCAUUUCUUUCCAGCACCCACAACUUAUUAAUCCCUACAACAGUUUAAUGAGGUGGGCAGUCCAUUUAUUCCCGUUUUUAUAGUUUAGGAAAAUUAGACAACAAUAAUAACUGGCUUUGGGUUACACAGCUGGUGAGCAUCAGAGCUGGGAUUUUAACCCAGGCUGCCUGGCUCUCACGCCCAUGCUUGCAAUCAUCUAUUGCAUAGUCCUUAUUCCUGGCUGAUUUCCUCUUUGUCGUGGCUCACUUUACUCCAUCCCUUGUAUGUUUCUAAAGACAGAGAACAUGGCGUGAACCCGGAAGGCGAAGCUUGCAGUGAGCAAAGAUCGCGCGCGCCACUGCACUCCAGCCUGGGCGACUGAGCGAGACUCCAUCUCAAAAAAAAAAAAAAAAAAAAAAAAAGAGAGAGAGAGAGAGAGAACUUGUUUAUAGCAUUUUCCAUCUCCAUCUACCUACUGUACACUCAGCAAGCCUGGGCGGGGGUAGGAGAGUGGUACACGUUUAGAUUUUAAGGAACUGCCCUCUCAAAUAUUUACGUAUAGUCUGAGUCCUUUCCAUUCCCAGAAGGCUUCAGAUUUUUUGAAACAGGUUUCAGAAAAAAAAAAACAAAAAAACAAAAAACUAAAUACUUUCUUCUUUCACUUCAGGAACCUAUGAAGGAAAAAGAAAUCAGUUAAUAUUCCAAAAUGAAUUAAUGGAUUGCUGAGUCAACAAAUUUGAUAUUAAAACCAUUCAAUUACUUUCUAAAACAAGAAGGAUUAGUUAAUAUUGAUUGGCUGUUUGGUGAGAUGUAAAAUGUAAAAAGUACUUUGAAAUAUGUGUUAUAUCUGUGUUUAAAGAGAGAGCGAGACAAAAUAAUAAGAACAUUAAAGUUAGAAAUGUCUACUUCAAUUGGAUCCACUCCCUUAGUAAGUCAGUAAGUGCAGUGUAAUGCUCUUUAAAGCAUAGUUAGAGGAUUUAAAAUCCGUAAUGACCUUGAAGGUCUUACCAGGGUUCCAGAUAAUCAAUACUGUUAAUAAUCACCUAAUGCGUAUUAAGGAUCAAUACAUUCUAAAAUUUAAAAUAGCCUGAUUUGGAAUCAUGUUGGUACUAAUUAAAAUUCCAAUUUUAGCCAACAAAAACAUAAUUGAAUAUAAAUGUUGGUUAAAUGAAUAGAUAACUGCAUGAAUAGAAUAAAAAUCCCAGGCAUAAAUUAUGAUGGUUUGCUUUCUGGUCCUGCAACAUAUUCUUUUUGAAUAUUCUAAUCUCAGAUAAUUACAUACAGAUUUUAAAAGUCAAAUUUUCUAUUAAGAUCAAUUCUUUCUUCUAUGUACAUUAUCCAUUAGGUAUUAAAUUCCAUUGCAUAGAGACAGUGAGAAGAUUAAUUUGGGUGGAUUUGAUUGUUGGGGUAAAUAUAGUAUAUGAAAAUUAAUCUUAAACUAAAUUAAAAAUUCAAGUUUCCCCAGCCUACACUUACUCUGUAGCUCAAAAGUUUUUAACUUUGGGUGUACUUCAAAUUGUCUGGGGGAACGUUUAAAAAUACCAUUUAGUGAAUCCCACCCAGGGCAAUUAAAUCAGAAUCUCUGUAGGUGGAGCAUUAGUGUUUCUCAGAAUCCUCCCAGUGAUUCCAGUGUGCAUCCAGGGCUGAGAACCAACAUUCUAGUCUUUUUAUUAGCUUUAUUAGCAUUGAUCUUAAGAUCCCCUACUCUAGGAUGUCAGAAUUUCAGGGAUAAAGACAUGGUCAGUAAAAGCUACCUUAGUCAUUUGUUCAUUCACCCUGACAACAUAUAUAUUAAGAUGACAGAAUUAAAUGUUACAUGAAGAUCUCGGGAACACCAACCAAUAACACAAAGCCCUAGUUCUCAAGUGACUGAGAGUCUAGUAUAAGGGGGAAAAGACAGGUGAAAUACUGUAUUAAAAGAUAUACAAGAAAAAAAUAAGGCCAACCUGAUAUCUCACCAUCACCACAAAAGCAACACAUCCAAAAGCUUCUCUCUUCUCUCUCCACACAUUUUCCUAGUCCUUAGAUAUUAGGACCACAAUCCUAGAAAACUAAGCUUGGAUAUUAGCCUGGCGCUGACUCCUUCCCACAUGUCUUGAGUUGACAAAUUGUGUGGGUUUUCCCUCAACAGUAUUCCUUACAUCUGCAUCCUCCUCUGGAUUCUCACUUUGUGCUUAUAGUCUUAUUUAAUGUUGGUCUAGAAUAUAAAUACAGUGAUAUAACUUGACUCUCUAUACAUACUUCCUUAUUGCAAAACAUAACUGGUCAUGUCCAAAAACCUCCAGUGAUUUUUUUUAUGUAUAAGAAUUUUAAAUUACUGAUUUUUCAAAUUCUAAUAACCUCCACUAUUUGUCCAAACCAUGUAAGUAUUUAUUCUGGUAGUUUAUAUGAAUAUUAUCAAGAAGCAAUGAAAAAAAGCUAACUAAAUAUUUCACAGGAACGGAAAACCAAACACCGCAUGUUCUCACUCAUAAGUGGGAGUUGAAUAAGGAGAACACACAGACAUAGGGAGGGCAACAUCACACACUGGGGCCUGUUGGAGGGUGAGGGGGUUAGGGGAGGGAUAGCAUUAGGAGAAAUACCAAACAUAGAUGAUGGGUUGAUGGGUGAAGCAAACCACAAUGGCACGUGUAUACCUAUGUAACAAACCUUCACCUUCUGCACAGGUAUCCCAGAACUUAAAGUAUAACAAAAAUAAAAAUAAAUAAAUAUUUCAUACAUGUCAAACACAAACUUUUAUGAAUAUAUUACAAGGAGGAAUGCAAAAAGCAAAAAUGUAAAAUUAUAGUACAUAGUAUGGGAAUAUUAAACAUCAUUCCAGUAUAAAUUAUUCAGAGUCAAUUAAAGUAUUAUUAAAAUAGCAAACAAAAUAGUAGAUUAAGUGGAAAAAACAAUUAAGAUAAUUGAAAGCAAAAUAAUAUUCUUGGAUUUUACAGAUUUGUGAUGUAAAGAAGCAAAGCUUCAUUUGCUCCAUUUUGUUGUAAUUUUUCUAACUGCUCCAGAAAUUCUUUUAACAUCUACACUGCUCAGGGAAACGCUGUAGAGGACACUGUAAACUCUUUCUGGAUAUUUUCCUUUGAUUCCUUCAUCUUCAGAUAAUCCUACUUUUUUCAUAAAUGCAAGAUCUUUGUUACUACCUUUUUUUCUUUUCAAGAACUGGAAUAUUUUUAAUUCAGUUAGACCCAUAAUUUUUAUUUCUUUUUUUUUUUAACAUUUCCAGUUUGUAUUUACCGUCUUUUGUUUUGUGUACUUGGAAAUACCUAUGCAGAGUUACCGCUCUCCCUAUCAACACUGUCUUAACACAUGUGCCAUCAGAGUAGGCUUAUUCCUGCAAAACAAGUUUGCAGCACCACAGUAUGUUUGCUUAUUAUGUGUGGACCAUUUGUCUGUUUGUCUUUUUUGUAUAAAUUGAACAAUGAAAUCAUUCAUUUUACUUGUAUGAUGUAAUAAAUGUCAGAAUAAUAAAACAAUAUUAUACUAACAAAAUUACCAGUACUUUGGACUUCAAAUUAAUAUGACAUUAUUGAAUGCUGAAAUACUGAAAGCCUGUAUUGAAAUCACUAGAUUGCAUUAUUAAUAUCACAGUACUUCUUAAAAUAAUGGUAUUUUUACUAGGUGGACUUUUCUAAGUGAGGCACUGUAGGUACAGUGGUCCAAAUUUACAUAAUCCUCUGAAAUAUUCUGUAAUUUAAUUAUUGUGACUCUAUUGUAAAGUAAUAAAAUUGCUAAGGUCAUAUAGUUGCCCAUCAGAAGAAGCAAUUCCUGUUAUUUAGUUAGUGUCUUUGCAUUAGAUUGAAAUGUCAGAAGGUCACUGGAAAGUUUGCUAAUAUUUUUAAAAUUGUGUUUUUAUUCUUUGCAUUGUUUCUGAGAUUAAAAAAUCAUUUAACAUAAUGUAUUGUGUUUUAUUUGGAGAAAAUUCUUUGUUACAUUACUUUUUAUUUGUAACAUUUACAUUUCACAUAUAUGACAGUAAAUUUUAUAUAUAUAAAUAUAUAUAUAUACAAAAGGAAUUUUAUUUCAAGGAGCCCAGUUUUAAUAACUUACUAUCAUACUAUUGGUGGCAAAAAAUUUAAAAAAAUUAAAUUUUCAUUUUACAAUAUGAUUUUUAAGAUUUUAAAUUUUAUUUAUAUUUCUAAUUUCAUAUGUUUUCUGACGUUUCUCUAUCAGAACACACACAGACAUAUUCACACAUAUGUUUACAUAGAUGUUCUGACUUUUGCUUGAAAAUUUUGUUCUACCCAGAAUAACCCCAUUCAUCCUUUCCAUCUUUCUAAAUCUUAUCCAUUCUUCAAAACAUUGUAUAAAUCCUGCCUAUGCUUCUCUGGCCACAGUAGCAUUGAAUCCUCUCUCCUUCCUCUGGAUAUCUUUGGUCUUUAAUAUUUGUAUCAUUAAUUUAUUAAAUAUGUUCAUUCUCAAUAGUUCUUAGAGUUAUGCUGCUUAAUAUUUUUAUUUAACUUUUGUAUGCAGUGAUUUAACUGUAAACUUUUUGAGAACAGAGUGCUAAGUUCAUCUUUAUCAAUUUGCUCUCUAAUUGCCUUCUGUAAAAACUAGUAAAUACAACAGAAACAAGCAAUAAAACCCACACUGCCCACAUCUUACAUUUUAUAUGGGAAAGUGAUAAGAUUUAAAAUAAAUAUAUUUAUUAUGAUAAUGUUGAGUAUUGAUAUUAAUUCUCCCAUGUGACGUGUAUAUGGAUAUAUAUGUAUGCUUGUAUUUAUAAAGAAACUAUUAUAACUUAAUUCUGAUUAGCCUCUUGCAGCUUUUCAAAAUUCAUUCUCCUGUGUCUUCUCAUGACUGAUAACUUGGAAAGGAUAUGCUACAUAAUGUACAUAAUAAAAGUAGUAAUUUCAACAGAAAAUCAAGAUGCCACUCGAUUUUGCCAUGGAUUUAUAAAAAUGACACAUCAGACAACAGAAGCAUAUGAGAAAAAUUUGCUGGGUAUCUACUCACUUCAAUUCAAACAUUUGAAGAAAUUAUGAAAAUUCCGAUGAGUUUUUAAAGUUUGUGCUUGCUCUGGUGUAGUGUAGCCAUGCAUUGAUCUGUCAUCACAGAAUGCUGAAGAACCAACAAGUCAAAAUGUGAAAGUUGUGCCAUAAGGUAAGAAAAAAAUAAAUAUGUGAUGAAAAAGAAAAAAGAAAGGAAACAGCAGCAGCAAACAGUCUAAAACAGCAAAGAAAUUUGUCGGGGGCCAAACAUAAGAAUUUUAAGAUGAAAUGUGGCAAUAAAAUGCAAAUAAGAAAUAACACAAAGAAAUUGUGAAAGCUUAAGGAAAAAAAGAGGAUAAUGGAAUGAAAGAAGCAUAAAACUUUUCCUUGACGUCUAACAUAUAACUUGUAUAAUUCUGAAAAACCAUUUCCUGUAUUAAUUUCCAAAAUAGUGUAAAAGAUAUCUGUGUUUCUGAAAUUAAAAAUGUUAUUGACAUUCAUAAUUUUUUAUGAUUUGUCAGGUGACUAGUUUAUUAUGUUAGGAAGCCAUCACUGUAUGAUGAUUUAGAGGAUGGGCUUUGUAGACAACUGGUAGCUCAAAUCCUGGCUCUCCUACUUCCUAUUAUAUCUGUGAUCUUGGCAGUCAUGUGUCAGAGCCACCUCCUACUGGUUUAUGAUAGCUGAUUGUGUGCAUCUCUUCCCAACAUUGUGCUCAGUGACAUAAUUGGUAGUUUGAAAUCAGCCAAGAUGAGAUUAUUUACACCUCUAAAAUUGGCACACUAAAUCAGACAAUCAUGGUUUUAUUCCCUAUGUACCAGCUUACCAGAACACCACUGGACUUUGGGCAAGUUUCCUAACCUUUAUGAACCUAAAGGGAUUUUUUUUUCAUCUGAAAAGUAAAAUUAAAUACGACAGGUUCACGUAAGACUCUGAAAACCCUUCAUAGGAUGAUAUAUUUUACAUGAUUCCUGGUACAUAGUAAACUUCAAUAAUGGUAACACUGUAGUAUUUUAAUUCAGCCUAUUGUAUAUAGAACAUAGAACAGUUUCACAUUUCUAACAUCCUAGAAAGCGUUUCAAAUAGUUCAUCAAAAUUCCAGGAGAGGAGGACUUGUAAAAAUGACUUUACUGAUUUUAUAGAUGAAAUGGUUUCUCCUAAAUAUUAUUAGAUUUUUGUGAAGAAGAUAAACAGUUACUAAUACUUGAAUAGUAAAUUCCUUCUGUAUGAUUAGUUUAGAAAAAAACUGUUUCCUACAGUGAUAUAUAUAAGCUUCUCUCUCUCUAUAUAUAUACACACACACACACACACACACACACACACACACACACACACACACAUAUAGAAGCUCAAGGGCACUUCUUGAAGUUUUAACCCACUCCCCUGAAUUAGAUUAAAUUCAUGGCUUCAGUUCUUCAAAACUUCUUGAUAAGUUAACAUGAGUACUGAUGCUAGCUAUACGCCCCACUGUUCAGAAAGCUCUCAUAGAAAAUUCUGAGCCAGAGGCCACUGUGUCUAUCAUGAUGACAGACGGUAUGUGUAACUUGAAACUUUAAAGGUAGACACUGCAGGAAAUAAAUUUAAGGAAAGAUUAAACAGUCUAGAGAUAACCCUGCUUAGUUGCCUACUUAAAAACUCUCAUCCAGGUAGUCUUCAAUAUGAAUUACUCUUAAGAUCCUUUUUUCAUUUCUGGCCUUGGAAUUUAAUUAUUUGUAAUAUUUUAAAAUAUCAUACAUAUGCAUUUUCUGAUAUAGCUUAUAAAUUGUAAAGAUCAUGUUAUCAUUAAAAAUAUUUUAAGGAUCUAAGUAAUUUUCUAGUAGAGAAAAAAAAACUACUGAAGUUGAAUUGAAAUGUAAGUCCUUUAUUACUUCAAAGACUUUAUGGUAGAUUGUUUACAAAGAAAAUUGAAAUAAUUUCUCCUAUCCCUGUAUGCACACAUCUUUGCAAUAUGACUUUGCUGUUCCUCUCAUCAAGAGCUAAACUUUAUUUCUCUCCCCCUUCAAUCUGGCUUUGCCAGCUGACUUGCUUUGGCCAAUAUGACACUAGCAAACCUGAUGAGAGCAGAGGUUUGACAAGCACGUGCACAUUAGGGCUUGCUGUCCUUGCUGCCCUGAGAGUGCCAUGUGAAAAAGCUUGAGCUAGCUGCUGGGAGGAGAGACCACAUUGGGCGGAGAUGAACCAUACCAGCUGAGGCUCCCUGGACCAAACACCAGACAUAUGAGCAAGGUCACUGUAGACCAUUCAGCCCUGUAUGACCUGUUUGCUAAAUGGAGUACCAAUUUAUCACCCACAGACUCAUGAGCAAAAAUAAAAUAAAAAUUUUGUUUGGAACUGCGGAUUGGCAGCCCAUGGACCAAAUCCAGUCCACUACAUGAUAUUGUGUAUUGUCUAAGGUUGUUUUCACACUACAGUGGCAGAGUUGAAUAGUUACAGCAGAGACCAUAUGGCCUGGAAAGCCCAAAAUAUUUACUUCUUCCCCUUUACAGAAUAUGUUUGCUGAUUCCUGUUUUUUGUUUGCUUGUUUGGUUGGUUGGUUGGGUUUUUUUGUUGUUUUUUUGUUUGUUUAUUUUUAUUUUUUAUUAUACUUUAAGUUUUAGGGUACAUGUGCACAUUGUGCAGGUUAGUUACAUAUGUAUACAUGUGCCAUGCUGGUGCGCUGCACCCACUAACUCGUCAUCUAGCAUUAGAUAUAUCUCCCAGUGCUAUCCCUCCCCCCUCCCCCCAC